rnacentral:rRNA from 1 species
UACGUAGGGGGCAAGCGUUGUCCGGAAUCAUUGGGCGUAAAGAGCGUGUAGGCGGCUCGAUAAGUCUGCUGUGAAAGUCCAGGGCUCAACCCUGGAAGGCCGGUGGAAACUGUCGGGCUAGAGUCCGGAAGAGGCGAGUGGAAUUCCUGGUGUAGCGGUGGAAUGCGCAGAUAUCAGGAGGAACACCAACGGCGAAGGCAGCUCGCUGGGACGGUACUGACGCUGAGGCGCGAAAGCGUGGGGAGCAAACAGG